UCAAACGUUCAUAAAACAAGUCGCAUGC
rnacentral:sRNA from 1 species